rnacentral:rRNA from 1 species
UACGAAGGGGGCUAGCGUUGUUCGGAAUUACUGGGCGUAAAGCGCACGUAGGCGGAUUGUUAAGUCAGGGGUGAAAUCCUGGAGCUCAACUCCAGAACUGCCCUUGAUACUGGCAAUCUUGAGUCCGGAAGAGGUAAGUGGAACUGCGAGUGUAGAGGUGAAAUUCGUAGAUAUUCGCAAGAACACCAGUGGCGAAGGCGGCUUACUGGUCCGGUACUGACGCUGAGGUGCGAAAUCGUGGGGAGCAAACAGG